UUCCACUAAAAUCUUUUUCUCUCCCUCACAUUUGCUCUCCUAAGUUCCGUGCUAGUCCUGCCUGUGCAAAUAGCUCCCAAGAUGAAGCUUCCACAGAGGAGAAAAUCCAUUCGUGGGUUAGAGGAAAGUGUGCGCCGAAAGAGACUAGCAAUCGAGACCACUUCUGCUUCAAACCCUGCUCCUGGUUCAGCUUCAGCUUCAACCC
rnacentral:lncRNA from 1 species